GACGAACGCUGGCGGCGUGCUUAACACAUGCAAGUCGAGCGGUAAGGCCCUUUCGGGGGUACGACGAGCGGCGAACGGGUGAGUAACACGUGGGUGACCUGCCCUCAGCUCUGGGAUAAGCCUGGGAAACUGGGUCUAAUACCGGAUAUGACUCCAUGACGCAUGUUGUGGGGUGGAAAGCCUUGUGCGGCUGAGGAUGGGCCCGCGGCCUAUCAGCUUGUUGGUGGGGUGANGGCCUACCAAGGCGACGACGGGUAGCCGGCCUGAGAGGGCGACCGGCCACACUGGGACUGGGACACGGCCCAGACUCCUACGGGAGGCAGCAGUGGGGAAUCUUGCGCAAUGGGCGAAAGCCUGACGCAGCGACG
rnacentral:rRNA from 1 species